UUAAGCGACUAAGCGUACACGGUGGAUGCCCUGGCAGUCAGAGGCGAUGAAGGACGUGCUAAUCUGCGAUAAGCGUCGGUAAGGUGAUAUGAACCGUUAUAACCGGCGAUUUCCGAAUGGGGAAACCCAGUGUGUUUCGACACACUAUCAUUAACUGAAUCCAUAGGUUAAUGAGGCGAACCGGGGGAACUGAAACAUCUAAGUACCCCGAGGAAAAGAAAUCAACCGAGAUUCCCCCAGUAGCGGCGAGCGAACGGGGAGGAGCCCAGAGCCUGAAUCAGUGUGUGUGUUAGUGGAAGCGUCUGGAAAGGCGCGCGAUACAGGGUGACAGCCCCGUACACAAAAAUACACAUAUUGUGAGCUCGAUGAGUAGGGCGGGACACGUGGUAUCCUGUCUGAAUAUGGGGGGACCAUCCUCCAAGGCUAAAUACUCCUGACUGACCGAUAGUGAACCAGUACCGUGAGGGAAAGGCGAAAAGAACCCCGGCGAGGGGAGUGAAAAAGAACCUGAAACCGUGUACGUACAAGCAGUGGGAGCACGCUUAGGCGUGUGACUGCGUACCUUUUGUAUAAUGGGUCAGCGACUUAUAUUCUGUAGCAAGGUUAACCGAAUAGGGGAGCCGAAGGGAAACCGAGUCUUAACUGGGCGUUAAGUUGCAGGGUAUAGACCCGAAACCCGGUGAUCUAGCCAUGGGCAGGUUGAAGGUUGGGUAACACUAACUGGAGGACCGAACCGACUAAUGUUGAAAAAUUAGCGGAUGACUUGUGGCUGGGGGUGAAAGGCCAAUCAAACCGGGAGAUAGCUGGUUCUCCCCGAAAGCUAUUUAGGUAGCGCCUCGUGAAUUCAUCUCCGGGGGUAGAGCACUGUUUCGGCAAGGGGGUCAUCCCGACUUACCAACCCGAUGCAAACUGCGAAUACCGGAGAAUGUUAUCACGGGAGACACACGGCGGGUGCUAACGUCCGUCGUGAAGAGGGAAACAACCCAGACCGCCAGCUAAGGUCCCAAAGUCAUGGUUAAGUGGGAAACGAUGUGGGAAGGCCCAGACAGCCAGGAUGUUGGCUUAGAAGCAGCCAUCAUUUAAAGAAAGCGUAAUAGCUCACUGGUCGAGUCGGCCUGCGCGGAAGAUGUAACGGGGCUAAACCAUGCACCGAAGCUGCGGCAGCGACGCUUAUGCGUUGUUGGGUAGGGGAGCGUUCUGUAAGCCUGCGAAGGUGUGCUGUGAGGCAUGCUGGAGGUAUCAGAAGUGCGAAUGCUGACAUAAGUAACGAUAAAGCGGGUGAAAAGCCCGCUCGCCGGAAGACCAAGGGUUCCUGUCCAACGUUAAUCGGGGCAGGGUGAGUCGACCCCUAAGACGAGGCCGAAAGGCGUAGUCGAUGGGAAACAGGUUAAUAUUCCUGUACUUGGUGUUACUGCGAAGGGGGGACGGAGAAGGCUAUGUUGGCCGGGCGACGGUUGUCCCGGUUUAAGCGUGUAGGCUGGUUUUCCAGGCAAAUCCGGAAAAUCAAGGCUGAGGCGUGAUGACGAGGCACUACGGUGCUGAAGCAACAAAUGCCCUGCUUCCAGGAAAAGCCUCUAAGCAUCAGGUAACAUCAAAUCGUACCCCAAACCGACACAGGUGGUCAGGUAGAGAAUACCAAGGCGCUUGAGAGAACUCGGGUGAAGGAACUAGGCAAAAUGGUGCCGUAACUUCGGGAGAAGGCACGCUGAUAUGUAGGUGAAGUCCCUUGCGGAUGGAGCUGAAAUCAGUCGAAGAUACCAGCUGGCUGCAACUGUUUAUUAAAAACACAGCACUGUGCAAACACGAAAGUGGACGUAUACGGUGUGACGCCUGCCCGGUGCCGGAAGGUUAAUUGAUGGGGUCAGCGCAAGCGAAGCUCUUGAUCGAAGCCCCGGUAAACGGCGGCCGUAACUAUAACGGUCCUAAGGUAGCGAAAUUCCUUGUCGGGUAAGUUCCGACCUGCACGAAUGGCGUAAUGAUGGCCAGGCUGUCUCCACCCGAGACUCAGUGAAAUUGAACUCGCUGUGAAGAUGCAGUGUACCCGCGGCAAGACGGAAAGACCCCGUGAACCUUUACUAUAGCUUGACACUGAACAUUGAGCCUUGAUGUGUAGGAUAGGUGGGAGGCUUUGAAGUGUGGACGCCAGUCUGCAUGGAGCCGGCCUUGAAAUACCACCCUUUAAUGUUUGAUGUUCUAACGUGGACCCGUGAUCCGGGUUGCGGACAGUGUCUGGUGGGUAGUUUGACUGGGGCGGUCUCCUCCUAAAGAGUAACGGAGGAGCACGAAGGUUGGCUAAUCCUGGUCGGACAUCAGGAGGUUAGUGCAAUGGCAUAAGCCAGCUUGACUGCGAGCGUGACGGCGCGAGCAGGUGCGAAAGCAGGUCAUAGUGAUCCGGUGGUUCUGAAUGGAAGGGCCAUCGCUCAACGGAUAAAAGGUACUCCGGGGAUAACAGGCUGAUACCGCCCAAGAGUUCAUAUCGACGGCGGUGUUUGGCACCUCGAUGUCGGCUCAUCACAUCCUGGGGCUGAAGUAGGUCCCAAGGGUAUGGCUGUUCGCCAUUUAAAGUGGUACGCGAGCUGGGUUUAGAACGUCGUGAGACAGUUCGGUCCCUAUCUGCCGUGGGCGCUGGAGAACUGAGGGGGGCUGCUCCUAGUACGAGAGGACCGGAGUGGACGCAUCACUGGUGUUCGGGUUGUCAUGCCAAUGGCACUGCCCGGUAGCUAAAUGCGGAAGAGAUAAGUGCUGAAAGCAUCUAAGCACGAAACUUGCCCCGAGAUGAGUUCUCCCUGACCCUUUAAGGGUCCUGAAGGAACGUUGAAGACGACGACGUUGAUAGGCCGGGUGUGUAAGCGCAGCGAUGCGUUGAGCUAACCGGUACUAAUGAACCGUGAGGCUUAACCUU
rnacentral:rRNA from 1 species